rnacentral:rRNA from 1 species
AGUGAACGCUGGCGGUAGGCCUAACACAUGCAAGUCGAACGGCAGCACAGGAGAGCAUGCUCUCUGGGUGGCGAGUGGCGGACGGGUGAGGAAUACAUCGGAAUCUACUUUUUCGUGGGGGAUAACGUAGGGAAACUUACGCUAAUACCGCAUACGACCUACGGGUGAAAGCAGGGGAUCUUCGGACCUUGCGCGAUUGAAUGAGCCGAUGUCGGAUUAGCUAGUUGGCGGGGUAAAGGCCCACCAAGGCGACAAUCCGUAGCUGGUCUGAGAGGAUGAUCAGCCACACUGGAACUGAGACACGGUCCAGACUCCUACGGGAGGCAGCAGUGGGGAAUAUUGGACAAUGGGCGCAAGCCUGAUCCAGCCAUACCGCGUGGGUGAAGAAGGCCUUCGGGUUGUAAAGCCCUUUUGUUGGGAAAGAAAUCCAGCUGGUUAAUACCCGGUUGGGAUGACGGUACCCAAAGAAUAAGCACCGGCUAACUUCGUGCCAGCCGCCGCAGUAA